GACAGAGGGUGCAAACGUUGUUCGGAAUUACUGGGCGUAAAGCGCACGUAGGCGGAUAUUUAAGUCAGGGGUGAAAUCCCGGGGCUCAACCCCGGAACUGCCUUUGAUACUGGGUAUCUCGAGUCCGAGAGAGGUGAGUGGAAUUCCGAGUGUAUAGGUGAAAUUCGUAGAUAUUCGGAGGAACACCAGUGGCGAAGGCGGCUCACUGGCUCGGUACUGACGCUGAGGUGCGAAAGCGUGGGGAGCAAACAGG
rnacentral:rRNA from 1 species